rnacentral:lncRNA from 1 species
AUUAUAUUAACAAUGAUGAGUGGACAGAACAGACACAAUAGGUAAAUAGUCAAAAUAUGGGCACAACAGGCAUCACUGUGUCACAAUCACAGGGCUUUCGCUAUAUAGUUGAAUCCUAAUUUGUUUUUGAUUUUAUAAAUGAAGCAAGUAGUGGACACAUUUGCAUGAAGCGUGAACGUGAUUCUUGUUAAAUAUGAGUUUUAGAGGCAUAUCCGUUCAUAACAACAAAUGUCACUUGAUAGUUUUCUUGACUGCUGUUACCCUAUUUUUGACAUUUUCACCUAUUAUGUCUGUUUAUUUUGUUCACAUGUUGUUGUCAAUAUAAUGAAGUUGUGAGUGUUUUCAUAAAUAUGAGAUGUUUAGCUAGCUA